UUGCUUCAGUAGCACAUAUACUACAGUUGGAACAAUACAAUCAAGAUUAUUAUGGUCCCUGAGCAAGGAUGGUACACAAAUGCAUAAAGUGUUCCAUAUUUUU